rnacentral:rRNA from 1 species
UACGUAGGGUGCGAGCGUUGUCCGGAUUUAUUGGGCGUAAAGAGCUCGUAGGCGGCUUGUCGCGUCGGCCGUGAAAUCUCCACGCUUAACGUGGAGCGUGCGGUCGAUACGGGCAGACUUGAGUUCGGUAGGGGAGACUGGAAUUCCUGGUGUAGCGGUGAAAUGCGCAGAUAUCAGGAGGAACACCGGUGGCGAAGGCGGGUCUCUGGGCCGAUACUGACGCUGAGAAGCGAAAGCGUGGGGAGCGAACAGG